CUGGAUGUGCUCGUUAGUCAUAGACGAUACACAGAGAACGGUCAUAUGACUAGAGACACAUUCAGCU
rnacentral:pre_miRNA from 1 species